rnacentral:rRNA from 1 species
GUAAUGCCGGAUGCUCCAGUUGAUCGCAUGGUCUUCUGGGAAAGCUUUCGCGGUAUGGGAUGGGGUCGCGUCCUAUCAGCUUGACGGCGGGGUAACGGCCCACCGUGGCUUCGACGGGUAGCCGGCCUGAGAGGGCGACCGGCCACAUUGGGACUGAGAUACGGCCCAGACUCCUACGGGAGGCAGCAGUGGGGAAUAUUGCACAAUGGGCGCAAGCCUGAUGCAGCGACGCCGCGUGAGGGAUGGAGGCCUUCGGGUUGUAAACCUCUUUUAUCGGGGAGCAAGCGAGAGUGAGUUUACCCGUUGAAUAAGCACCGGCUAACUACGUGCCAGCAGCCGCGGUAAUACGUAGGGUGCAAGCGUUAUCCGGAAUUAUUGGGCGUAAAGGGCUCGUAGGCGGUUCGUCGCGUCCGGUGUGAAAGUCCAUCGCUUAACGGUGGAUCCGCGCCGGGUACGGGCGGGCUUGAGUGCGGUAGGGGAGACUGGAAUUCCCGGUGUAACGGUGGAAUGUGUAGAUAUCG